rnacentral:snRNA from 1 species
UUACUCUGGUUUCCCUUCAAUACGCAUAAAUCUUUCGCCUUUUACUAAAGAUUUCCGUGGAGGGGAACAUAUGAUGAGUCUUUAAAUAAUUUUUUGUUGUGCCCGGCGAAAGCUGGGCC